rnacentral:rRNA from 1 species
CUACGUGCCAGCAGCCGCGGUAAUACGGAAGGUCCGGGCGUUAUCCGGAUUUAUUGGGUUUAAAGGGAGUGUAGGCGGUCUGUUAAGCGUGUUGUGAAAUUUAGGUGCUCAACAUUUAACUUGCAGCGCGAACUGUCAGACUUGAGUACACGCAGCGCAGGCGGAAUUCAUGGUGUAGCGGUGAAAUGCUUAGAUAUCAUGAGGAACUCCGAUCGCGAAGGCAGCCUGCGGGAGUGUUACUGACGCUUAAGCUCGAAGGUGCGGGUAUCGAACAGGAUUAGAUACCCUGGUAGUCCGCACGGUAAACGAUGGAUGCUCGCUGUUGGUUUAAUUAGAUCAGUGGCUAAGUGAAAGCAUUAAGCAUCCCACCUGGGGAGUACGCCGGCAACGGUGAAACUCAAAGGAAUUGACGGGGGCCCGCACAAGCGGAGGAACAUGUGGUUUAAUUCGAUGAUACGCGAGGAACCUUACCCGGGCUUGAAUUGCAGAGGAAAGAUCCAGAGAUGG